UUAGCUUUACUGAUCAAGCACAUGUUACCUUUUACUCUCUCCCUUUUUUAGAUACAACAUGGUCUAUAAGCAGCAAAGAAAUGGAGCAACGUAAAACACCUUCUCAGAGAGUCUGCUUCUACUAGCUUAUCUGUUUCCUACAGACACCCUCAAAAUGGGAAAGAUAUUAUUUAUUGCAGGCCCCAGACUGUUUCCCAAGGCUUCACUUGCAGGCGCCACAAGGCAGCUAUAGGCAAGACACAAUUCAGAAAACAGAGACAAUCCUUUCCUUCAACAGUUUAUAUUUUAAUUGUAGAAAAGUCCACACAAAAAAAAGAAAGGUGAAGACGGAAGAAGGGAGAUGAAGGCAGAGAAGAACAGUAAGAGCAAUGAAGACAUGACUGGCCUGUGAUCUCCUUAAGUGGAGAUUCAUAAAGGAAACAUCCAACCCAAGGGAAAGACCAUAGAUUCUGCAAAGUCCAGUGGCAGGAAGUCAGGAUGAUUGACCAUGGCCUGGAAGCAAUAGACAACCUUGGCGUCUUUGAUGAUUGACCAAGCUUUAGUGAUGAAGAGGGAGGCUGGAAGAAUGUGCAGUGUACUGGCAAGGGAGCUGAGGAAAAAGCUAGAGAACAGAUGUGAAUAAAGGGCAGAACAUGAUACUUUAAGACUCCAAUGUACUCUGAAGUCCAAUGUGGCCCCAGUUCCCAGCAGACCUCCAGGGCUUAUUCUGUUUCAAGAGACGAUUACCCUCACCAUAGCAAUAUCAUGUUUGCAUGGUUACAAGGACUUCCACAGAGGAAAAGAUAUUCCUGGCAACCCAAACUUGAAAUAAUCCUGGGAUUUCCCAGGUUUAAAUUUGAUUCCCUCCAUCCAUUCAUGAAGAAUUUACAUACUAAAGCAAAUUGUGAUGGGUGUUUGGUUGUUUGUUUGUUUAAUGGUGAACUGGUAUUUGUACCAAAGUAAGACUGUAUAAAAAUGCUUGUCAAUUUAAAAAACUCUUAUGAUAGUUAAUAAAUUAUAAGCAUCUUCAGAAAUGGA